GGACUGGCUUCCUAGUGUUGGAGGAGAGAGGAGCGUGGUCAGCCCAGUCUGGAGUGGCAUGCUCUUCUUGGUUCAGUCUGAAGACACAGGCUUCUAAAGAGGGAAGAUAUUAAGGAAGAGAGAAAGAGAAGAAAAGGAGAAAGAGAGAGAGAGAGAGAGAGAGAGAGAGAGAGAGAGAGACAGAGAGAGAGAGAGAGAGAAAGUCAGCUCCAGCUUCCUCUGAGCCAGGUAGCAAUUCUAAAGCCCCAGCCAGAGCAAAGGAGGCCAAGGAAAGGAAGUCAGCCUUUAUACUAACCAUGUGUCAGUUCAAUCAGCAGAUUCUUCAUCAGCCUCAACUUCAGCAGGCUCCACUCCAAGUGUGUCCCUUUCAAACUCCCAGAAGAAUGACCACCAACAACCAACUCCCAGAAGACCGACAUCAUUGUUCAGGAAAGAUGAGAGAUGUGGAAUGGAAGUCCUUUGGAGAGACUCUCUACAAUCUGUAG
rnacentral:lncRNA from 1 species